GACGAACGCUGGCGGCGUGCUUAACACAUGCAAGUCGAACGGAAAGGCCCUGCUUUUGUGGGGUGCUCGAGUGGCGAACGGGUGAGUAACACGUGAGUAACCUGCCCUUGACUUUGGGAUAACUUCAGGAAACUGGGGCUAAUACCGGCUAGGAGCUCCUGCUGCAUGGUGGGGGUUGGAAAGUUUCGGCGGUUGGGGAUGGACUCGCGGCUUAUCAGCUUGUUGGUGGGGUAGUGGCUUACCAAGGCUUUGACGGGUAGCCGGCCUGAGAGGGUGACCGGCCACAUUGGGACUGAGAUACGGCCCAGACUCGUACGGGAGGCAGCAGUGGGGAAGAUUGCACAAUGGAAGGAAGCCUGAUGCAGCAACGCCGCGUGGGGGAUGACGGCCUUCGGGUUGUAAACCGCUUUCGCCUGUGACGAAGCGUGAGUGACAGUAAUGGGUAAAGAAGCACCGGCUAACUACGUG
rnacentral:rRNA from 1 species